GUGGGGAAUAUUGCACAAUGGGCGCAAGCCUGAUGCAGCGACGCCGCGUGAGGGAUGACGGCCUUCGGGUUGUAAACCUCUUUCGCCAGGGACGAAGCCUUUCGGGGUGACGGUACCUGGAUAAGAAGCACCGGCUAACUACGUGCCAGCAGCCGCGGUAAUACGUAGGGUGCGAGCGUUGUCCGGAAUUAUUGGGCGUAAAGAGCUCGUAGGCGGUUUGUCACGUCGGCCGUGAAAACUGGAGGCUUAACCUCCAGCUUGCGGUCGAUACGGGCAGACUUGAGUUCGGUAGGGGAGACUGGAAUUCCUGGUGUAGCGGUGGAAUGCGCAGAUAUCAGGAGGAACACCGGUGGCGAAGGCGGGUCUCUGGGCCGAUACUGACGCUGAGGAGCGAAAGCGUGGGGAGCGAACAGGAUUAGAAACCCUAGUAGUCC
rnacentral:rRNA from 1 species